GAGAACGGGCAUUUUUAAGGAAUCAUUAUUUGUACAUAAAGAAAUAAAAGGUAAAUCCAACAGCCCAGAGACGCUUGCAUUUCAGUAGAAAUGGACUUUCUCGGGUUAAAAGGUGCUGAAAGAGAUCCCACUCAAUCACUCCUGAAUUUCCAGAAACAUAGGCAUUUGUCCAUGUCAAAAUUAUCCACUCAACGGGCAUCUCUUUGGCUCCACCCUCCAGUUUCAGAGUGCCCAAAUGGCAAAAGGCAGCCAGCUGGAUUGCCAAAUGCUCCUCCUCCACUCCUGGUCCUUCAUGUUCCUCUAAAGAAGACCUCCCAGUUCUCUUCUGCCUUGUUCGUGACCCAAAAGAGGCCUUUUAAUGGAAGUGUUCCUAGCAGACCUCCUCUUGGUCUUCUCCAUCAAUUACUAACUGUGACUCCUGCCGCUCCAUAGGAUAAAUGGCGAUAUUGGGUGAAUAGCUCAGAUACGUUUAUUGAUCUGAAUAUCAGGGUGUUAUCAAAGUCUACUGGAUUGUAUCACAGAUUUAGGGCUCUAAUUUAAUGACAUUUCUGAAAGAGCGAAAUACCCACAUCCCUGUCUCUCCCCGACAACUGGCAAAAACGGGGAACGCAGCUCUGAACACGAUCAAAUCAAGGGUGUCGACUCAGAGUGAGAUCGUACAGCUUCAAAAGUAAUGUCGAUCUGCUCGCAACUUCACGCAAACCCAGCAGAGCCCCCAGCAGGACCCCCACGUACCCGCCUCUCAAUCCGGAGUUCGGGACGGGGGAGCACCCCUACUCGGGUCCUUCCCGCCGGCCGCCCGGAAAGCCCGGAGCGCGGAAGCGGAGCGACCCUCGGCAGCCGCGGGACGGGCAUGCUCAGUAGGCCCGCAGGUCUGGUUUCACUCGGAAGCCAGCCGCGGACCCCGCCCCCUCCCGCCCCGCACGGGCGCCCGGAGAAGCGGACAUUUUAUCCUUCUCUGCCAUCCGCUCCCUCUUUCGUGUCCUUCGCCCCCUGUCUGAGUCCUUCCACCUCUCGCCCAUCGGGGUCUGGGGACAUUAACUUGAAGAAAAUCAGCUGUUUGCCAAGAAAGGAGGGCUUGGAUGAAAGAGGAUGGAAGGAGGCUUGUCUCACUUGCAGGAGGAGGAAACGCAGCAAUGCACAAAUAGUCUCUUGUCUAUCAAAGCCAGCUCCAAACAAUCAUCGUAAUGUCCAGACUUGGGGGAGAAGCAGGGGAGCCAGCGCCCGUUUGGUCAGCUCCUGAGUGUGCUGAGCGUAAAGGCUGGACACUCGACGUGGCUUUGCAGAGAGGACAGUUAACCUGACCCAGCCUUCACACGGGACUGCAUCUGCCACAGAUGAUCUAUUUCAGAUCUUGCCACUUUUCAAAUGCCAGCAAGGUAAGGAACAGAGACAACAUUUAUUCCAACACCUUUAUUUUUCUUCCCCCAAUUUUUAGUUCAAAUUUUUUCAAAGUACAAUAAAGUUGAAAGAAAAAGCA
rnacentral:lncRNA from 1 species